rnacentral:rRNA from 1 species
CUCCCGCCGGCGACCGGCGCACGGGUGAGUAACACGUAUGAAACCUGCCCGUAGCAGGGGGAUAAGCGGAAGAAAUUCCGUCUAAUACCGCGUAACAACCCAUGGAGGCAUCUCUGUGGGUUUAAAGGAAGCGAUUCCGGCUACGGAUGGUCAUGCGUCGCAUUAGCUUGUUGGCGGGGUAACGGCCCACCAAGGCGACGAUGCGUAGGGGUUCUGAGAGGAAGGUCCCCCACAUUGGAACUGAGACACGGUCCAAACUCCUACGGGAGGCAGCAG